rnacentral:rRNA from 1 species
UACGGAGGAUGCAAGCGUUAUCCGGAAUGAUUGGGCGUAAAGCGUCCGCAGGUGGCUAUGUAAGUCUGCUGUUAAAGAGUGAGGCUCAACCUCAUAAGAGCAGUGGAAACUACAUAGCUAGAGUGCGUUCGGGGCAGAGGGAAUUCCUGGUGUAGCGGUGAAAUGCGUAGAUAUCAGGAAGAACACCGGUGGCGAAAGCGCUCUGCUAGGCCGCAACUGACACUGAGGCGCGAAAGCCAGGGGAGCAAACGGG